AUUCCAGCUCCAAUAGCGUAUAUUAUGUUGUUGCAGUUAAAAAGCUCGUAGUUGGAUUUCUGGGUUCUUCGCUAGCUUUGGUCCGCAAGGGCUUCAGUGGGCUGUUUGAAUCCAUCCUCAGGGGGACCCAUGCUGGUAUUCAUUUAUCGGUGUGGGAACGCCUGUCGUUUACUGUGAACAAAUUAGAGUGUUCAAAGCAAGGUGUACUUGAAUACAUUAGCAUGGAAUAAUAAGAUAGGACUUUGGUGGUUCUUUUUGAUAUUUUGUUGGUUUGCACGCCAAAGUAAUGAUUAAUAGGAGCAGUUGUGGGUAUUCGUAUUCAAUUGUCAGAGGUGAAAUUCUUGGAUUUAUAGAAGACGAACUACUGCGAAAGCAUUUACCAAGGAUGUUUUCAUUG
rnacentral:rRNA from 1 species